CCUACGGGAGGCAGCAGUGAGGAAUAUUGGUCAAUGGGCGCGAGCCUGAACCAGCCAAGUCGCGUGAGGGAAGACGGUCCUAUGGAUUGUAAACCUCUUUUGUCGGGGAGCAAAAGACGCCACGCGUGUCGUUCCGAGAGUACCCGAAGAACAAGCAUCGGCUAACUCCGUGCCAGCAGCCGCGGUAAUACGGAGGAUGCGAGCGUUAUCCGGAGUUAUUGGGUUUAAAGGGUGCGCAGGCGGAAGAUCAAGUCAGCGGUAAAAUUGAGAGGCUCAACCUCUUCGAGCCGUUGACACUGGUGUUCUUGAGUGAGCGAGAGGUAUGCGGAAUGCGUGGUGUAGCGGUGAAAUGCAUAGAUAUCACGCAGAACUCCGAUUGCGAAGGCAGCAUACCGGCGCUCAACUGACGCUCAUGCACGAAAGUGUGGGUAUCGAACAGGAUUAGAUACCCCUGUAGUC
rnacentral:rRNA from 1 species